GCGCUGGACAAGGGCAGCGACCCAGGCUGACCCACCUCCUCCGUCUCCCGGCUCUGCGGAACCUCACUCAGUGCGGAUCCCGGGCGCGCUCGCACACCUCACCCGCGUCGGCUUGAAGAAAUCCGGAAAGUGGGUUUGCCAUUCUUUUUUUUCAUCUUCAGAUAAACCAGAUCCAGUCGGUUAGCCUAAAUCCGCACUGCGCGCAAGGAAGAAACCCUGACGCCCAUCGGGGUGUGCACUUCGGCGUCCUCUUUUGUAAAGGGGAAUGAUCACACCUGCCUUUUCGGAUGUCAUGAGAAUUUAAUGGGCUCUCCCAGAAAGGUGCCUGGUAGCGGCAGGCAUGUCGGUACAUGGUAGUUAUUAAUUAUCAUUACUGUACAAAUUCCCAGACUGGAAAAAAGACAUGUGCUCCUAAAAGGACAGGCAAACAGGUAACAAGAUAAAUAAGAUCCGUAAAAGUAUUCUUAGUAUACAUUUUACAGUGUGCUUCAUUUGAAAUUUCCAGAUGUGAAAAACUUGUCCACAUCUUCCCUUCCCAGCUCUAGGAUUUCUGUGAUUUGCUUGUAUCCUUAUUGUUAGUGUCUGUCAAUCCUCCCAGAAUGUAAGAUCCUCAAAGGCAGGGUUCUUAAUUUUGUUGCCUGAUGUAUCCAAGGGUCUUUAGAACACUGCACGUAGUAGCACAUAGUAGAUACUAAAUAAAUAUUUCGUGAAUCACACAAAUGAGUAUGAGUUUUGUCUGGCGGUGGGGUAAGAUCGUUGAAAUGGAGUGGGCCAGGCGCAGUGGCUCACGCCUGUAAUCCCAGCACUCUGGGAGGCCGAGGCGGGUGGAUCACCUGAGGUCAGGAGUUCAAGACCAGCCUGGGCAACAUGGUGAAACCCCAACUCUACUAAAAAUACAAAAAAGUCGCCGGGCAUGGUGGUGGACGCCUGUAAUUCCAGCUACUCGGGAGGCUGAGGCAGGAGAAUUGAACCUGGGAGGCGGAGGUUGCAGU
rnacentral:lncRNA from 1 species